rnacentral:lncRNA from 13 species
AUGGUGGAAAAAUACAGAAUGAGUUGGGGGGGGGCACAUUCAGAGCGUGGGGUUGCGAGAACAAACUGUAUUUUGUUAGAUAACAGGAGCCAGGUGCCUGAAAACUGCAUAUUCUACACAACUGCAUAUUCUACACAGCUACAGCGACUGACCGCUGAAGCGCUUAGGGGGCUGGGACCAGCCUCUGCGCCAACAAUCAACGAUGGGCUGGGUGAAUCUAAACCACGCCCAGUCUCUACUCUGACAGGCCGGCUCGGAAGCAGGAACUUUUUCUGUCAGAGUAUAUUUACAAUAUAUUUGUCAAGAACAAGUUAGUUCUCUGUUUGUCCUGCGAGGUGGGACAGAGAGCCCGUAUAUACGAAAAUUGCAUUUACCAAUUAUUGCUUAGCUAAUAAAAAAUACAUAGCAUACAAUCGGUGACUCAUUGUCAUAUUUAUCCUGAUACCAGAUUCGAAUUGACGCAACUCUAACACAGGUCAAUGAUUAUGACAGCAUUCUGAUCUAACCAUAAAUUAAUAUGUUGUGCCACUGGCCUGAGAAUAUUGAAGUUCUAUCUUAGCCUAGAUGUAGCCUAGUAGGCUCACUUUAACUAGCUAGCUAACUUAGCUGGUUCAUUGUUGCCAACGUGAGGAAUUUAAGCUAGCAAGCAUUUUAGCUAGGUAGCCUAGGACAACAAAGAAUGAAAGGUGUACUGUAUGACAGAGUCAUAGACCGUUUAGCCAACAUGAAAGAGAGGAGGAUGGCGUUGGCCUUCAACUAGUCAACAAGUAUGGCGAGUCAACAUGUUUCGUUUUACUUGUGCACACAGACAGAAAUCAGUACCAAGGGAAGCCACGUGAUAUUUAGCAACAUUGAUUGGACUAAAUUGUUUUUGGUAUCUUUAAAGUGUGUUUUCUGUGUAUUAUACUAUGCAGAUGUAGCUUUCUUGAUUUGAUGAUAUUUCAAUGUUUAAGUUAAAAUGGUGCUGGAAUGGCAGAGGCGGUGUGCCUGUUGUCUUUGUGUUGACUUGAGGUAACUUCCUGGUUCUAAAUCAGUAGUGGUUUAGUAAACGGUAGAAAACAUGAACACUGUAAGACUGUUGUGUAAUUUCAACAGUAAAACACUGUAGAAUGCACAGUCAAAUAUCUUAAAUGUGUUUUUACAGCAUUAAUGCUGUAGAUUGCACUGCAUUUAUUUCUUUAAAAAAAAAAACUUUAUCUAACUAGGCAAGUGAGUUAAGAACAAAUUAUUAUUUUCAAUGACAGCCUAGGAACAGUGGGUUAACUGCCUUGUUCAGGGGCAGAACGACAGAUUUUUUUACCUUGUCAGCUCGGGGAUUUGAUCUUGUAACCUUUCGGUUACUAGUCCAACGCUCUAACCACUAGGAUACGCUGCAUCAUGGGUAAAAUUCUACUGUUGUUAACUGUAAAUGUAAGCCUCCUGUAAAAAUGACUCUAACGUACUGUAUUUCUUUACAGUAGUACCCAAACACUGCUGUAGUUGGCGGCGCCAAACGGUCUGUGGUGUGUGUGUGUGUGUGUGUGUGUGAGAGAGAGAAAGAGAGCUGAAUCUCAUAGAUGAAACCAAGACUGUUCUCAGGGCAGCUCUGCCGGUUUUGACUAGCAGAAGACACUUUGCGCAGAAGGUUACGAAAAUGAACGCAGCAGGUUAGGAUAAUUAGGUAAAGGUUAGGGAAAGCUAAAAUACUAACAAUGUCCCCGACGCGACUCGAAUCUAUCUACAACCAGGCCUGCCCUGAGAAAAGACUUGAUUUCCACUAAUGCGAUGCUCCUCGCCAAACGGUCUGUGUGAUGCUCCCCCCCUCAAAAUAAAUGGUUUAUGCUAUGAGCGAGACAAAUGUCAUAAAGGGACAGAAAUGCCAAGAAUACAUAAAAGUACAAAAUAAUACAAAUGUUUCUUUAAAUUGUUUGUUUGUUUGUCUUCUUGUGCUGGUAUGGAAUGCAGCAGCCUAACCGUUUUUUAUUUGUAUUUUUUUAAGAAAAUGAAGAAAGGAUAUUAUCUGUAACAAUGGAUAGGACUCUUGUCCUCCUCCAAGCAUCAGUGACCUCCAGGAACAGUGGCCUUUCCGUUUCACCAAGUUAUGGCUCUGCGACCACUUCAAAACCCUCCCUGGCGUCGUGAUUGACAGUCGCCUGACUCAAGCUCUCCCGAACAAGAGUAAGAGAAUUGUCAACAUUUUUUAAAAGCCAAAAGACCAUUCUGCCAUUCUUCUGUUGAUGACCCACUUCAGAGAGGAGGACCAAUCUCUGUUUCUCUUGGCAGAUGUAAAAAUGUUAGACUUAGAAAGUCGAUAUGAUUAAUGGUGUUUAUACUCUACUAUUACACAUGAUAUGAAUAUUUUUAAUGUUUUGUGAUUUUAGGUCACUGCAACUCGGGAUGAUGUCGAGGUGCGAAUUCCUUUUCCAUUUCAUAUCCAACAUUUUUAUGCAAGUAAAGUCCAGGUCAGAUAAAGAAUGUUAUGACAGGCAUGGAAACAAACCAAAUUCAAACAGAAUUUGGGCAGGUAGUAGGUAGGUUCUCCUGGCAUCCUCCAAACCCAGA